CAACUUAAGACCAACACACAUUCAACUAACUGCCAAGAAAAACAGCCGGAAAAGUGAAGACUGAAUCGUGAACAUGACCACUUCUGGGCCCCCGAGACGUGGCAGUAAGAAGCAAUUGACCUGAGGUGACUUCUUAAGAGUGCUGAGAGGAACUCUUCACAUUUGACUGAAGAAGAUACACAUAUGCUGAGAC